rnacentral:rRNA from 1 species
UGGGGAAUAUUGCACAAUGGGGGAAACCCUGAUGCAGCAACGCCGCGUGAAGGAAGAAGUAUUUCGGUAUGUAAACUUCUAUCAGCAGGGAAGAAGAAAGUGACGGUACCUGACUAAGAAGAACCGGCUAAAUACGUGCCAGCAGCCGCGGUAAUACGUAUGGUUCAAGCGUUAUCCGGAUUUACUGGGUGUAAAGGGUGAGUAGGCGGUUAUGCAAGUCACAUGUGAAAUGUCGGGGCUCAACUCCGGCCUGCAUGAGAAACUGUAUAACUAGAGUGCAGGAGAGGCAAGCGGAAUUCCUAGUGUAGCGGUGAAAUGCGUAGAUAUUAGGAAGAACACCGGUGGCGAAGGCGGCUUGCUGGACUGUAACUGACGCUGAGUCACGAAAGCGUGGGGAGCAAACA